UACGUAGGGGGCUAGCGUUGUCCGGAAUCAUUGGGCGUAAAGAGCGUGUAGGCGGCCCGGUAAGUCCGCUGUAAAAGUCAAAGGCUCAACCUUUGAAUGUCAGUGGAUACUGCCGGGCUAGAGUCCGGAAGAGGCGAGUGGAACUCCUGGUGUAGCGGUGAAAUGCGCAGAUAUCAGGAAGAACACCCGUGGCGAAGGCGGUUCUCUGGGACGGUACUGACGCUGAGACGCGAAAGCGUGGGGAGCGAACAGG
rnacentral:rRNA from 1 species